AAUUUAUUAGUUUAAUAUUAAAACAUUAUAUUUUCAAUAUAAAAAUAAAUUCUUUUUAAUUUAUAAAUUA
rnacentral:tRNA from 1 species